rnacentral:rRNA from 1 species
AACGAACGCUGGCGGCAGGCCUAACACAUGCAAGUCGAGCGCGCCCUUCGGGGUGAGCGGCGGACGGGUGAGUAACGCGUGGGAACGUGCCCUUUUCUACGGAAUAGCCUCGGGAAACUGAGAGUAAUACCGUAUACGCCCUUUGGGGGAAAGAUUUAUCGGAAAAGGAUCGGCCCGCGUUGGAUUAGGUAGUUGGUGGGGUAAUGGCCUACCAAGCCGACGAUCCAUAGCUGGUUUGAGAGGAUGAUCAGCCACACUGGGACUGAGACACGGCCCAGACUCCUACGGGAGGCAGCAGUGGGGAAUCUUAGACAAUGGGGGCAACCCUGAUCUAGCCAUGCCGCGUGAGUGAUGAAGGCCUUAGGGUUGUAAAGCUCUUUCAGCUGGGAAGAUAAGGACGGUACCAGCAGAAGAAGCCCCGGCGAACUCCGU